UACAGAGGUCCCAAGCGUUGUUCGGAUUCACUGGGCGUAAAGGGUGCGUAGGCGGUCGGGUAAGUCUGAUGUGAAAUCUCACAGCUUAACUGUGAAACUGCAUUGGAUACUAUCCGGCUAGAGGAAUGGAGGGGAGACUGGAAUACUUGGUGUAGCAGUGAAAUGCGCAGAUAUCAGGAGGAACACCGGUGGCGAAGGCGGUUCUCUGGGCCUGUACUGACGCUGAGGAGCGAAAGCGUGGGGAGCGAACAGG
rnacentral:rRNA from 1 species